UACGGAGGGGGCUAGCGUUGUUCGGAAUUACUGGGCGUAAAGCGCACGUAGGCGGCUUUGCAAGUUAGAGGUGAAAGCCCGGGGCUCAACCCCGGAAUUGCCUUUAAAACUGCAUCGCUAGAAUUGUGGAGAGGUAAGUGGAAUUCCGAGUGUAGAGGUGAAAUUCGUAGAUAUUCGGAAGAACACCAGUUGCGAAGGCGACUUACUGGACACAUAUUGACGCUGAGGUGCGAAAGCGUGGGGAGCAAACAGG
rnacentral:rRNA from 1 species